AAGGAGAGGGAGGUGGGAAGGAAGAGGCUGAAGAGAGAAAAACGGGUUGUCAGCCCGAGUCCUCACGUGAGAAACUCAGACAAAGGCCACGCGACACUUAUUCCCCUCUGACAGACAACCCUUCAGCAAGAACGAGUAAAAAUAAGGCUGAGAUCUGUGGAGGACUCACGCCCCUUGGUGGGGGGUACAUAUAAAUGGAGUCUCAGAGUCUCCACCGGUCUCAGCUUUCUCAGAACUGGACGCGGAGGUCCCACCCACUACCAGCAGAACUAUAGAAACGCUGGUGUCGGUUUCUCCUGAGACGUUGGCAAACAGAGACAGGGUUUGAAGCCCUGAGGACCUGAGUGUGGCCCAGAAGUCAAUGGGUGAUGCUGGGGAGGCCAGUCACCCUCAGUCAGCACAGCGACAAGGGCCUGUGAACAGACAGUGUGCAGGGGCAGUGUGUUCCAGCUGCAGCUGCUAUUAAGAAAACGUGAUUUACUGUUUUAUGCGGAAAUACAGAGUUGCUCUUAGGCUUCAUUGAAAAGUAUGCACGAGCAAUGUCAAGGUGGGUACGCCGUGCCCCCUCUGCCAGGCAGUGUUGAGCUGACUCCAGAAGGACCCUUAGGGAUUCCAUAUGCAUUUUCUGCAAGGAACUUAAAUCUGUUUUGUAAGGACAGCUGUAGAUGAAGAACAGAAAGGACUCUCUUCUAUGGCAGCUACCCUAGCAAGCCUGAAGAAUGGAACCAGCUUCCCCCAUCAGCCGUGAUUCCGUCAUAACUCUUCUUUUAAGCCUGGUGUUGGUCUGAGCCAGCCUGGGCUGGGGGUGGUGGGCUGCAGGGUAUUGCUCUCUCCCCAGGGGUCAGUGCAGGGAUGGUUUCAGCCUAAUGUCAUCCACCAUCUCAUCCCUCACCUUCUGAAACUCAGGAGAGACAGCGGAGGGUAGCCUUGUUUGCCUUUCUGUGUAAUUGGCAGAAUCUCGGGGAAGCACCAGAGCAGCUAGCCCCACUUCCUGGAUGUGUUUUGGAGAGGUACCUCACACCAUUGUGGCCCUGGGGGCCACCGUUCCCUUUUGUUCCUUUAUCUCUGGCACCAAUAUGCUCCGAAUGUCUUGGGUCACAACUGUGUCCACACUCCAUAAUAUGUUGGGAAGAUAUCUAAAAUACACAAGAAGAGAUAGAAGAAAGGAAACUAAAACCAGUCUCUUGACAUUGAGAUGAGAUUAAAAUUUGCAAAUAAGCAUCCUGUACCUUUCUGGAUUACAUUUUGUGUGUACAGAUUUCGAACCAUUUUAAAAGUGUUGUUAUCUCCUGAUCACACAAAUAAAUCACACGCGCAACUCUGACGCUGUGCUUUAGGCUCUGGAGAAAGAGGGAGAUGGUGACAAAUGAAUGUUAUCUAUCUUUCAUGUUCCUACCCUUCUAAUCUUGAUGCUCAAUUAAAGAUGAGAGAUGAAA